AUUGAACACUGGCGGCAGGCCUAACACAUGCAAGUCGAACGGUAACAGGAAGAAGCUUGCUUCUUUGCUGACGAGUGGCGGACGGGUGAGUAAUGUCUGGGAAACUGCCUGAUGGAGGGGGAUAACUACUGGAAACGGUAGCUAAUACCGCAUAACGUCGCAAGACCAAAGAGGGGGACCUUCGGGCCUCUUGCCAUCGGAUGUGCCCAGAUGGGAUUAGCUAGUAGGUGGGGUAACGGCUCACCUAGGCGACGAUCCCUAGCUGGUCUGAGAGGAUGACCAGCCACACUGGAACUGAGACACGGUCCAGACUCCUACGGGAGGCAGCAGUGGGGAAUAUUGCACAAUGGGCGCAAGCCUGAUGCAGCCAUGCCGCGUGUAUGAAGAAGGCCUUCGGGUUGUAAAGUACUUUCAGCGGGGAGGAAGGGAGUAAAGUUAAUACCUUUGCUCAUUGACGUUACCCGCAGAAGAAGCACCGGCUAACUCCGU
rnacentral:rRNA from 1 species